rnacentral:rRNA from 1 species
GACGAACGCUGGCGGCGUGCUUAACACAUGCAGGUCGAACGGAAAGGCCCUGCUUGCAGGGUACUCGAGUGGCGAACGGGUGAGUAACACGUGGGUGAUCUGCCCUGCACUUCGGGAUAAGCCUGGGAAACUGGGUCUAAUACCGGAUAGGAGCCAUUUUUAGUGUGAUGGUUGGAAAGUUUUUUCGGUGUAGGAUGAGCUCGCGGCCUAUCAGCUUGUUGGUGGGGUAAUGGCCUACCAAGGCGGCGACGGGUAGCCGGCCUGAGAGGGUGGACGGGCACAUUGGGACUGAGAUACGGCCCAGACUCCUACGGGAGGCAGCAGUGGGGAAUAUUGCACAAUGGGCGCAAGCCUGAUGCAGCGACGCCGCGUGGGGGAUGACGGCCUUCGGGUUGUAAACUCCUUUCGCUAGGGACGAAGCUUUUUGUGACGGUACCUAGAUAAGAAGCACCGGCUAACUACGUG